AGAGUUUGAUCAUGGCUCAGAACGAACGCUGGCGGCGUGCUUAAGACAUGCAAGUCGAACGAGAAAGUCGCCUUCGGGUGGCGAGUAAAGUGGCGCACGGGUGAGUAACGCGUGGGUAAUCUGCCCUUUCGUCUGGAACAACCUCGGGAAACUGAAGCUAAUUCCAGAUAAGACUACGACGACCUAGGUCGAUGUGGAAAAAGGUGGCCUCUCCUUGGAAGCUAUCGCGAGAGGAUGAGCCCGCGUUCCAUUAGCUAGUUGGUGGGGUAAAAGCCUACCAAGGCUCCGAUGGAUAGCUGGUCUGAGAGGAUGAUCAGCCACACUGGGACUGAGACACGGCCCAGACUCCUACGGGAGGCAGCAGUCGGGAAUUUUGUCCAAUGGGGGAAACCCUGAGACAGCAACGCCGCGUGAGGGAUGAAGGCCUUCGGGUCGUAAACCUCUGUCAGGAGGGAAGAAAGCUUCAUUGCAAAUAGUUAUGAAGUCUGACGGUACCUCCAAAGGAAGCACCGGCUAACUCCGUGCCAGCAGCCGCGGUAAUACGGAGGGUGCGAGCGUUGUUCGGAAUCAUUGGGCGUAAAGCGGAUGCAGGCGGUGAAGUUAGUCGGGUGUGAAAGCCCAGGGCCCAACCCUGGAACUGCACUCGAAACUGCUUCACUAGAGUCCCGGAGGGGAAGGCGGAAUUCCCGGUGUAGAGGUGAAAUUCGUAGAU
rnacentral:rRNA from 1 species